AGAGGGUGCGAACGUUGCUCGGAUUUACUGGGCGUAAGCGCGUGUAGGCGGACUCGCAAGUCGGUUGUGAAAUCCCUGGGGCUCAACCUAGGAACUGCAUCCGAAACUGCUUGUCUUGAGUAAUGGAGAGGGUGGCGGAAUUCCCGGUGUAGAGGUGAAAUUCGUAGAUAUCGGGAGGAACAUCAGUGGCGAAGGCGGCCACCUGGACAUUUACUGACGCUGAGACGCGAAAGCGUGGGGAGCAAACAGGAUUAGAUACCCUGGUAGUCCACGCCGUAAACGAUGAGCACUAGGUGCAGCGGAUAUUGACCUCUGCUGUGCCGUAGCUAACGCGUUAAGUGCUCCGCCUGGGGAGUACGGCCGCAAGGCUA
rnacentral:rRNA from 1 species